rnacentral:rRNA from 1 species
GAGGAAAAGAAAACUAACAAGGAUUCCCCUAGUAACGGCGAGUGAACAGGGAAGAGCUCAAAUUUGUAAUCUGGCGUCCCUUGGGCGUCCGAGUUGUAAUCUAUAGAAGCGUUUUCCGUGCUGGACCAUGUCCAAGUCCCUUGGAACAGGGUAUCAAAGAGGGUGACAAUCCCGUGCUUGACAUGACGACCAGUGCUCUGUGAUACGCUCUCUACGAGUCGAGUUGUUUGGGAAUGCAGCUCAAAAUGGGUGGUGAGUUCCAUCUAAAGCUAAAUAUUGGCGAGAGACCGAUAGCGAACAAGUACCGUGAGGGAAAGAUGAAAAGCACUUUGGAAAGAGAGUUAAACAGUACGUGAAAUUGUUGAAAGGGAAACGAUUGAAGUCAGUCGUGUCCAAGGGGUUCAGCCGGUCAUGCCGGUGUAUUCCCCUCGGAUGGGUCAACGUCAGUUUGGACCGGUGGAAAAGGGCGGUUGGAAUGUGGCAGCUCCGGCUGUGUUAUAGCCUUCCGUCGCACACGCCGGUCUAGACUGAGGAAUGCAGCUCGCCUUUAUGGCUGGGGUUCUCCCACAUUCGAGCUUAGGAUGUUGACAUAAUGGCUUUAACGAC